AUGAUGAUGAUUGGUUCCAUCUCGCCCAUACCGGCACCUCCUACUUCUUCUGUUGCAACACAUUCUAAGCAUAUUGGCAUCAUCACUCCUCCUCCAGAAGUAGAAAGAAUCAUCAACAAAACUGCCGAGAACGUUGCGAAAUAUGGUCCAGAGUUUGAGAAGAUGGUCAUCAAUGACAAGAUUAAACUAAAUCCAGAUCCUAAAUUCAGCUUUUUGAAAUCCUUACAUCCCUACCAUGCAUAUUAUCAGAAAAAGGUGGCCGAAAUCCGUGCUCAGCUUGAUCAGUCUUCUGAAGAGCCAGCUCCGGUUAUAGAUGUUGUACCAAAGCCUGAUUCCCUCCCCCAGGUCAGACAUGAAUGCAAAGUGCCUGAACAACCAGAACCCGAAGAGUAUACUGUUCGGCUUCCUCAAGGAAUUAGUGGAGAAGAACUUGAUGUUAUUAAGCUCACAGCACAAUUUGCAGCUCGGAAUGGCCAGUCGUUUCUGUCAGGAUUGAGGAGUAACCCCCAGUUCUAUUUUCUCAAUCGUAAUCAUAGCUUGUUCAACUUUUUCACUUCUCUAAGGGAUGCAUAUGCAAAGGUGUUGAUGCCACCGGAAGGGUUGACAGAGAAGCUGAAGAAGAGGGUGAGAGACAUGACCAGUGUGCUAGAACGAUGUGUGAAUCGGCUGGAGUGGGAGCAUUAUCAGAAGCAGUCAAAGCAGAAGGUCGAAGAUGAGAUUGAGCAGGAAAGGAUACAAAUGGCUGCAAUUGAUUGGCAUGAACAUGUUGUGGUGGAUGUAAUAGACUUUGAUGAUGAGGAGGACGGCUGCUUACCUCCUCCACUGACCCUUGAAGAGGUUAUAAGGAGAAGCAAAGUUGUUACAUAUAUGGAAGCAGAUGAUACUGUCAAGGAGUCGGGAAAUCUAGUCGAAAUGGAUUUGGAUGAAGAAGAGAUGCAGCUUGUUGAAGAGGGCAUGGAAGUAACAGAGGUGGAACACCCACCAAUGAGAAUUGUGAAGAACUGGAAGAGACCUGAGGAGAGGAUGAUCCUAUCCAGUGCCGAAAGAGACAUGACGAUUUCCCCUAUUACUGGGGAGCUUGUCCCUAACAGUGAGAUGUCUGAGCACAUGAGGAUUUCUCUCAUUGAUCCAAGAUACAAAGAACAAAAAGAAAGGAUGUUUGCGAAGAUUCGGGAGACUAGUCUUGUUCUUGCACAGGACGAAGAGAUCUCAAGAAACAUUGUGAACCUAGCGAGAACCCGUCCUGAUAUAUUUGGUUCCACAGAGGAAGAAGUUUCCAGUGCUGUCAAGGCUGCGAUUGAAAACAAGGAAAAGCAGCAGGUCAUAUGUGACGACCACGCUGGACGCAUUGGCCAUGUAGCAAAUCAUGCCAUGUCACAGUAUACCAAUGGAAAGGAUAACAAUGGUGGUGUGAACAAUGCUGCAGUCAAUCUUGCUGUGAAUCUUCCUUUUGUUCCUGCAUACACAGUUCAGUAUCCAUGUACAAAUAGCAUUGGUCUCCCUGUCCAAUUUCCAUUGCUUGGUCCUACUAUACCAACAAUGUUUAUGCCUGCAGCUAGUAUACCUGUACCACCUCCUCCUGUUACUGAUUUUACAACAAUGCAGAUGGCUUAUAUUCCUCCACCUACAGAUAUGACGCCUCCACAGCCUUUGCCUCAAGCACGGCCACCAACACCUCCUCAUCCAGAACCUAAGCCAAAGAGACAGAAGCUUGAUAAUUCCAUGCUUAUUCCAGAAGCUGAAUUUCUUGCACAGCAUCCGGACCGGUAUGCAUCAAUAUAUCUGUUCCCAAUGUUGAUGAAGUUAACCUCAAAGGACAACUUUUGGAGAUCACAGUGCAGUCUCUGUCUGAAACUGUUGGCGGUCUGAAAGAGAAAAUCUCUAGGGAAAUCCAGCUUCCGGCAAACAAACAAAAAUUGAGCGGAAACCCGGGCUUUCUCAAAGACAAUUUGUCCCUUGCAUAUUACAAUGUUGGCGCAGGACAAACACUAGGUCUCACAGUAAGAGAGCGCGGUGGAAGAAAGAGAUGA